rnacentral:rRNA from 1 species
UGGGGAAUAUUGGACAAUGGGGGAAACCCUGAUCCAGCAACGCCGCGUGAGUGAUGAAGGCCUUCGGGUCGUAAAGCUCUGUUGGGAGGGAAGAAUGGGCCGCGUAACAAACGGCUUUGACGUUACCUCCUGAGGAAGCACCGGCUAACUCUGUGCCAGCAGCCGCGGUAAUACAGAGGGUGCAAGUGUUGUUCGGAAUUAUUGGGCGUAAAGCGCACGUAGGUUGUUUGGUUAGUCGAAUGUGAAAGCCCUGGGCUCAACCCAGGAACUGCAUCCGAAACUGCCAAACUUGAGGUCGGUAGAGGAGAGUGGAAUUCCCGGUGUAGAGGUGAAAUUCGUAGAGAUCGGGAGGAACACCAGUGGCGAAAGCGGCUCCCUGGGCCGAAUCUGACGCUAAGGUGCGAGAGCGUGGGGAGCAAACAGGAUUAGAUACCCAAGUAGUCCCUGAGCGGGCUGGCAAGGCGCAU